rnacentral:lncRNA from 1 species
CGGCUGGCCCCGGUCUCAGGGUUGGAGGGUGACAGGAAGAGUAGAAGCCAUCGGAGUCUGGUUCAGUCUCUUUCUACUCUGUGGAUAAGUUUUCUUUGAGUUUUGGGUAAUUGGAUUUCCAGGUUUUGCAGCCAGUCACCACAAUUGAUCACUGAAAAGAUGGAUUUAUUGCUUACCAGGCAGAAUUCUGACACUCUUCAGAGGAUAGAAACUAAAAGAAAACAGCCUAGACAGAGAGUGCUCUGGGUCAUCACUGGGUCAGACCGGCAAGAUAUGUUACAGCUGGCAGGUUUAUGCUGGAACCUCAGUGCAAGCAAUCUUCUUGCUAAAUGGGCGGCACCAGAGCCCAGUGGAAUAUUUUGUAAGAUGCUGUCAGUAACUCAUGUUUGCAAGGAAAUGUACCCCGGGAUGACACCUCGGAGCAGACGUCAAGUCCCCGACAGGCUGAACCUGUGAGAAGAGAAUUGACUAAACUUGAAGCAGCUCACACCUUGGUUGUCUGCCUUGGUGGGUGACUCUCCUGGCAUGCUGAACUGGCUCAGUGGGCAGAAAAACAAUACAGCACGAAGCCCUCCGCCACUCUUUGCAGAGGGUUCUGGAAAUUCGUUGAAAAGCAGCAGAACUUUGCACUCAGCUUGCAUACAUCCAAUACCUGUGUUACCUGCCAUCCAUCCACAAAACACAUCCACCCUUCCAUCCAUCCGAGUAACACUUUGUUAAUUAUUGAGCUCUUACUGUAUGCUUAGCAUGCUACUUGGUGCUGGAAAGAAAUGGAGACGUGUUUGCUGUCUCUUUGGCAAAUGACUACCCUUUGCAAGCCCAGGGAAGAAGUUCAAGAAGUUCCAGGAACAACUCAGGUAGAUCUGACCUCACCCGGGAGCUGGAGGGAAAUGCCUUCAUCUGGGAUUUAGAGGAUCUGCCCUGACCUGGGAGUUAAAGGAUCUGUCCUCACCAGAGACUUACAGGAUCUGCCUCUACCUGGGAGUUGGAAGGAUCUAUUCUCACCUGGAAUUGAAAGGCUCUGCCCUCUUCAGCCUCUCCAGAACAGUAGUCUCCAUUUGAGGCAGAGACAAGGUUUUUCUUUAUCCUGCUUUAAAGCCUUUUUCCUCCCCUGCCUGCCUCUGUCUAUAAGAAUUAAGCAACCGUGCCUUGCUAUAACAGGCUCAGAAUAAGUGAAUUUUGUUCUCCUUUGGCUAGUCUUCAUUUAUCCUGAAAGAUGAGAUUGUAUAGGUCAAACGGUGGUGGUGGUGGGAAAGGGCAUUCUAGGAGAUAGAGCAGCAUACACAAAGACUGGGACAAGAAGAACUAAGCUAUAUUCUUCAAGCUGAAGAGUUGAGUGUGGCUAGAAUGAGGAAAGUGAGAGGGGACUCCGGUAUAAGAUAUAGCUGGGACUAAGGCCUAUGUGAGGGUAAGCUUGGGGUUAGGCAUCCAUGAAUUGUUUUGGGAGGCUUUGGGCUGUGUCCUAACCAGAGCCUCGUUUUGGUUGGUGUCUGGCACUUUUCCGUUGAAACCAUAUGGUUCCACUAUGAUUGAUUCGGUUCCUGUCAGUGGCUCCUUAUGUGAACUGCCACUUUUCUUGCUUUCUAUGCACAGGGAAACACUUUGCUAUGUGUGAGCCUUACUUCUUGCCAGGACUGGCUCCUCUGGCCUCUUCGGAAUUGGUGAUGUAAUCUCUGGCUUGCCCAAACUUGCCCUCUCUGGUAAUGUGCUCAACAGAACUUACAGCAAAAGGUCAGUGCAGCAAAGAAUGGGAGUCAUGCCAUGCCUGUUUUCUCUCUUGUCCAGAUGAAGAGGCCUCCCAGAAUCCUUUGCAGUAGUAAUAGGUUUCAUCCAAGGUGGGGCCGUGUGAUACAGGAAGGUGGCACAUACACAUAAUGGCGCUCUUUAAUGGGUAUGGUUUGCUCUCCUUUCUGUUGCCUGGGAUGCAGAGAUGGCUUUGGAUCAUGUUGCCAUUUUGGGACCAUGAUGAUGAUUGGGUCACCAGAAAGAAUACCAGAAGGAUGGGACUGAGGGGUGAUGCUUAUUUCUGGAAAUCAUGAGGAGACACAUAUGUUUAUUUUCUUCGAGACACUGUCAUUUCUGGCUGUGACCACAGGUGACCUAUAUUCUAGCCAAGCAGUUUUCCAAGUGUGAGCCACUGCUGGGGAGUCUCUGACACAUUUUCGCAGAGCCCAUAGGGCCAAGACUGUUUCUAUAAGCAUUCUAGAACUUUGCUUCCCCUUCCACUCUCAUUCAUUUACCAGUGGAUAGUUAAGAUUUUCAGAGAUGACAUCAUGACUCAGUCAUACCACUGCAGACACAGAUAUGGCCAUUUCCUGUGAAUCUAGGUACUAAAGAGUCUUGUAGAGAUACAAAGCAAUGGGAUGCCUCUCAAUAAAAGUGU